rnacentral:rRNA from 1 species
UACGAAGGGGGCUAGCGUUGCUCGGAAUUACUGGGCGUAAAGGGCGCGUAGGCGGACAGUUAAGUCGGGGGUGAAAGCCCGGGGCUCAACCUCGGAAUUGCCUUCGAUACUGGCUGUCUUGAGUGCGGGAGAGGUGUGUGGAACUCCGAGUGUAGAGGUGAAAUUCGUAGAUAUCUGGAGGAACACCGGUGGCGAAGGCGGCAUCCUGGACCGAGAUUGACGCUGAUGCGCGAAAGCCAGGGGAGCAAACGGG